GCCCACAUAACCCUCAUACACAAACCGGGGAAAGACCCCGAAGACUGUGGGACUUACCGCCCCAUCUCUCUGAUAAACGGAGAUCUCAAGAUAUUCACUGUAGCGGAAUGCCAAUAUUAAAUCCACGAAUUCCGCUGGUUCAGGAAGUAAUCCACAGUCAAGCGCUGAAACAACAAGGCAAUAUCCCCAACCUCCCAGUAACCGGACGAAACACAGUUCUGAGAGUCAACUCAAGUCCUUUAAUUCUGCUUCACAAUUUAUACAAGUCCCCAUGCAAGGGGUUUCCUGAGUCCCCUCCCAGGGGCAUUCCUAGAGGGGACUACAUG